rnacentral:tRNA from 1 species
GCCGGAGUGGUGGAAUUGGUAGACACGCUAUCUUGAGGGGGUAGUGACCGUANGGUCGUGCCGGUUCAAGUCCGGCCUUCGGCACCA